AGAGUUUGAUCAUGGCUCAGGACAAACGCUGGCGGCGUGCCUAACACAUGCAAGUCGCACGUCCUUUGCUUUUCGGAGCGAAGGAAGUGGCGGACGGGUGAGCAACACGUGGAUACCUACCCUGAAGUGAGGAAUACCGGCGAGAAAUCGCCGACAAUACCGCAUACGCUUCUUACCAAAGAAGCAAAGCCGCAAGGCGCUUUAGGAUGGGUCUGCGUCCGAUUAGCUAGCUGGUGGGGUAAAGGCUCACCAGGGCGACGAUCGGUAGCUGGUCUGAGAGGAUGAUCAGCCACACUGGGAUUGAGAACGGCCCAGACUCCUACGGGGGGCAGCAGUGAGGAAUCUUCGGCAAUGGGGGCAACCCUGACCGAGCAACGCCGCGUGCAGGAAGAAGGUUUUCGGAUCGUAAACUGCUUUUCUGUGGGACGAGCAAGGACGGUACCACAGGAAGAAGCCCCGGCUAACUACGUGCCAGCAGCCGCGGUAAUACGUAGGGGGCGAGCGUUGUCCGGAGUUACUGGGCGUAAAGGGCACGCAGGCGGUGCUGUACGUUCGUGGUCACAGCUCCCGGCUUCACUGGGAGAGCGUCACGAAAACGGCAGGACUUGAGGACUCAAGAGGGAACGGGAACUCCUGGUGGAGCGGUGAAAUGCGUAGAGAUCAGGAAGAACACCAAAGGCGAAGGCACGUUCCUGGGGAGUCACUGACGCUGAGGUGCGAGAGCUAGGGGAGCAAACGGGAUUAGAUACCCCGGUAGUCCUAGCCGUAAACGAUGACCACCAGGUGUAGGAGGUAUCGACCCCUUCUGUGCCGGCGCAAACGCUUUGAGUGGUCCGCCUGGGGAGUACGGUCGCAAGAUUAAAACUCAAAGGAAUUGACGGGGACCCGCACAAGCAGCGGAGCGUGUGGUUUAAUUCGAUGCAACGCGAAGAACCUUACCAGGGUUUGACAUCUUCUCGCACCGCCUGGAAACAGGUGUACCCGCAAGGGACGGGAGGACAGGUGCUGCAUGGCUGUCGUCAGCUCGUGUCGUGAGAUGUUGGGUUAAGUCCCGCAACGAGCGCAACCCCCAUCGUCGGUUAUAGGUGUCCGACGAGACUGCCAMRAUCAACGUGGAGGAAGGCGGGGAUGACGUCAAGUCAGCACGGCCCUUACAUCCUGGGCGACACACACGCUACAAUGGUCGGGACAAAAGGACGCCAACCCGCGAGGGGGAGCCAAUCCAGCAAACCCGAUCUCAGUUCAGAUUGUAGGCUGCAACCCGCCUGCAUGAAGAGGGAGUUGCUAGUAACCGUGCGUCAGCACAGCACGGUGAAUACGUUCCCGGGUCUUGUACACACCGCCCGUCACACCACGAAAGUCGGCAACACCUGAAGCCGUCGGGCUAACCGCAAGGAGGCAGACGUCGAGGGUGGGGUCGGUGAUUGGGGUGAAGUCGUAACAAGGUAACCGUA
rnacentral:rRNA from 1 species